CUAAUCUUAGUUUAAUUUUAGAAUAGAGGUUUUGGGGAUCUUUGGUCUCAAUUUGAGAGAUUUGAG
rnacentral:tRNA from 1 species